AUAAGGUACGGAUGCCGUGGGGAUCACGGGGAGCUAUCAGAGUAAGGCGCUGCAAGAGAAUAUGGACCCAAGUCAAGACCAAGGAGCUGACCCUAUCCCACACGUGCUGAGGGACCAGUGCCAUCAUGGCAGCAGAGUAGAGUUGGGCUAGAGAUGUCUUGGCAUAACUCUGGUGACCAGUCUCCAACUUCUUGGUUUGUCACUUGCCUACAAUGACCUUUCACCUCCUUCAUAGCUGUCAUUGUUCUUAUGUUGUGCAUCUGAGGAGGUCAAAGGUCAAACUCAGGCAUUGUUCCACAAAGUGUCAUCCACCUUGACUUUGUUUUGUUUUUAGGUUUAGGGUCUCUCCCUCAAUCCAAUAGGGUGGCAUAGCUGACCAGACAGCCCCCAGGAUCUUUCUGUUUCCACAGGAUCAAUGCUAAGAUUGCAAAUGGCACCACCACGCUGAGAUUUUUUUUUUUUUUAAAUCUGGGUUCUGGGGUCUGAAUGCAGGUCCUUGUGGUUGAGCGACAGACACUUUACCACUGAGCUAUCCUGCCAGCCUCCUUCAAGACAAAAUUUAGAUGAUAAUCAAGGUCAGCUCAUGAUCCAUCCCUGGGGUAAGUUCUUGUCAGCCACUCAUAACCCAGCCAAUCUUUAUCUAAAGCCCUGAGCAAGUCCAGGCUUCUCCACUGUGGCUCACACAGUUCCUGUUGGAAACAGCCUUCCAGACCUCCAGAGGCAAGGGCACCCAGGACUGCCAGGUGUCUGAUCCGUCACAAUAAUCUUGUGCAGCGAUUUCCACUGAAUGGAAACAUCCAACAUUCUGUCCUGCAGGAACCGUUUACAGAGGCCUCAGAGGGGACAGCCAUGGAGCGCACAGGAACCAACUGCUCAUCUUUGCCUGCAUGCCACAUGUUCAGCAAACAAACCCUUGCUCGGAAAUCCUGGGUUUCUCCAGGAUGCAAGCAUUCCCAGGGAAAUUGAGGUGUAAAUUGGUUACCUGGCAGGUUGUUUUGAACCUGAACUCCACAUAAAGAGAUGUUUAUUUCC
rnacentral:lncRNA from 1 species